rnacentral:rRNA from 1 species
GACGAACGCUGGCGGCGUGCUUAACACAUGCAAGUCGAACGGAAAGGCCCUGCUUUUGUGGGGGGCUCGAGUGGCGAACGGGUGAGUAACACGUGAGUAACCUGCCCUUGACUUUGGGAUAACUUAAGGAAACUGGGGCUAAUACCGGAUAGGAGCUCCUGCUGCAUGGUGGGGGUUGGAAAGUUUCGGCGGUUGGGGAUGGACUCGGGGCUUAUCAGCUUGUUGGUGGGGUAGUGGCUUACCAAGGCUUUGACGGGUAGCCGGCCUGAGAGGGUGACCGGCCACCUUGGGACUGCGGUACGGCCCAGACUCCUACGGGAGGCAGCAGUGGGGAAUAUUGCACAAUGGGCGGAAGCCUGAUGCAGCAACGCCGCGUGCGGGAUGACGGCCUUCGGGUUGUAAACCGCUUUCGCCUGUGACGAAGCGUGAGUGACGGUAAUGGGUAAAGAAGCACCGGCUAACUACGUG